rnacentral:tRNA from 3 species
GCGGGAGUAGCUCAGUGGUAGAGCGCUUCCUUGCCAAGGAAGAGGCCGCGGGUUCGAACCCCGUCUCCCGCUCCA